GCUGAUUUAGCUCAGUUGGCAGAGCGCAUCCAUGGUAAGGAUGAGGUCGCCGGUUCAAUCCCGGCAAUUAGCAUGA
rnacentral:tRNA from 5 species